rnacentral:snoRNA from 1 species
GCCCUCUUAGGAUUGUACCUGGAGAGUUUCCAGUACUCUACCAGUCUCGACUACAGGAGGGAGAAUCAAGCAGAGGCAUAUCCAUCCUGUUCCUAGCUUGGGAGGUGGCUAGCGAGUGGAAGCAAUCUGCUACAAGU